UCGAGCCUGCGACCACCGACAUGAGGACCAAGGCCUCAAUAUGUGGGUUGUGCUUUGCCCCACACCACCACAGUGCCCCCACACUGAUCCUUUUAUUUCAGUUUUUUUUUGUUUUUUUUCAGAUCCAAAUUCAGGGGCUGCAUCUUUCGAAGGACCUGGUCAGCAUAGGGUGGAAUUGGGAGGGGUGCUGCUGUCCAACAGUCAACGGACAAGAGGACGGGUCACCCUGGACAGGUCGCAGGAGACAGUCAUGUUCAGAUGUUGGUAAACUGGCACAGCAGACCGUCCCCUGUGUUCUUCCUGCAGUACUCUGUCUCAGUGUCCAGCUUCCUGGACUUCCAGUGGGUUCACAUCUUCAGGAUGUCCAGAGACCUUCACCUUUCAGCAGGGAACAUAUGUGCCAAUAGCCCUGAUGGCACAUUUAAUAAAAAAAACAGCCAUGAGGUUGUACCCCAUGCUUCACUAACAUAUGUGAAGCUGUCCUUGGGUAGAAACACCUUACUGGAUAGAACCAGACUAUUAUCAAGGCAGAAUUGCAUCAUGUGAUUAGCAAAUAUUGAACUUUUAACAGAAAUAUCUGCAUU